GGUUAUCGAAACCAUACACUGGUAGUGGCUAUGCCAAGAAGCUAUUGAAUCUGCAGAAUGUGCAGCUCUGUGUGACUCUGACUCUGAGUGAUGAUGACAUCAGGAAGACCCUCUUCGAGCUCAGCACCAACCUAUUCAUGGGCGCCGACAACGUCUGUGUCAGCAUCGAGCAAGAGGAUACAUAGGGAGAUGGUGGAGCUCAACAACGACCCUCCUCCACACUGCUCUGCCACCAUCAUUGGCCCCCCUGGAUGGUUGGAGUCCAGCACUAACCAUUACCAAAGUGCUAACUGCAAUUAGAUCACUUGUAAGUUCUUCCGCUCUCCUCAACCUCACAAUGUGGAAUGGAUUCACUUAAGAGUUAUGAUGAUGGUUGUUCCAGAUAACGCUGUUGUCCCUGCCAUUGCUCACUUGUAUUUGGAAAACAAAGCAAAACAUGAUCUUGUUGCUGGAGAGUGGACUGCUCGUUUUGCCAAGUGAAUUGUUCAAGCCUUUUAACUUCUUUUGUACCAUGUUCUUUAAUGAUGUCUAUAUGUGAAUACUAGUUCAUACUUAGCUUGUAUCUCCUUCUCACAAGCUUCAGUAAUAACAUAAGCAAGAUGUUGUUAUUCUCAAACUCAAUCUAUGUUUUCAAUUUGUGA